rnacentral:rRNA from 1 species
GUCGAACGAUGACCCGGUGCUUGCACCGGUGAUUAGUGGCGAACGGGUGAGUAACACGUGAGUAACCUGCCCUUGACUCUGGGAUAAGCCUGGGAAACUGGGUCUAAUACCGGAUAUGACCUUCCAUCGCAUGGUGGUUGGUGGAAAGCUUUUGUGGUUUUGGAUGGACUCGCGGCCUAUCAGCUUGUUGGUGAGGUAAUGGCUUACCAAGGCGACGACGGGUAGCCGGCCUGAGAGGGUGACCGGCCACACUGGGACUGAGACACGGCCCAGACUCCUACGGGAGGCAGCAGUGGGGAAUAUUGCACAAUGGGCGCAAGCCUGAUGCAGCGACGCCGCGUGAGGGAUGACGGCCUUCGGGUUGUAAACCUCUUUCAGUAGGGAAGAAGCGAAAGUGACGGUACCUGCAGAAGAAGCGCCGGCUAACUACGUGCCAGCAGCCGCGGUAAUACGUAGGGCGCAAGCGUUAUCCGGAAUUAUUGGGCGUAAAGAGCUCGUAGGCGGUUUGUCGCGUCUGCCGUGAAAGUCCGGGGCUCAACUCCGGAUCUGCGGUGGGUACGGGCAGACUAGAGUGAUGUAGGGGAGACUGGAAUUCCUGGUGUAGCGGUGAAAUGCGCAGAUAUCAGGAGGAACACCGAUGGCGAAGGCAGGUCUCUGGGCAUUAACUGACGCUGAGGAGCGAAAGCAUGGGGAGCGAACAGGAUUAGAUACCCUGGUAGUCCAUGCCGUAAACGUUGGGCACUAGGUGUGGGGGACAUUCCACGUUUUCCGCGCCGUAGCUAACGCAUUAAGUGCCCCGCCUGGGGAGUACGGCCGCAAGGCUAAAACUCAAAGGAAUUGACGGGGGGCCCGCACAAGCGGCGGAGCAUGCGGAUUAAUUCGAUGCAACGCGAAGAACCUUACCAAGGCUUGACAUGGCCGGACCGCCGCAGAAAUGUGGUUUCCCCCUUUGGGGGCUGG